rnacentral:rRNA from 1 species
CAUGCAGUCGAGCGGUAGCACAGAGAGCUUGCUCUCGGGUGACGAGCGGCGGACGGGUGAGUAAUGUCUGGGAAACUGCCUGAUGGAGGGGGAUAACUACUGGAAACGGUAGCUAAUACCGCAUAACGUCGCAAGACCAAAGUGGGGGACCUUCGGGCCUCAUGCCAUCAGAUGUGCCCAGAUGGGAUUAGCUAGUAGGUGGGGUAACGGCUCACCUAGGCGACGAUCCCUAGCUGGUCUGAGAGGAUGACCAGCCACACUGGAACUGAGACACGGUCCAGACUCCUACGGGAGGCAGCAGUGGGGAAUAUUGCACAAUGGGCGCAAGCCUGAUGCAGCCAUGCCGCGUGUGUGAAGAAGGCCUUCGGGUUGUAAAGCACUUUCAGCGGGGAGGAAGGCGGUGAGGUUAAUAACCUCGUCGAUUGACGUUACCCGCAGAAGAAGCACCGGCUAACUCCGUGCCAGCAGCCGCGGUAAUACGGAGGGUGCAAGCGUUAAUCGGAAUUACUGGGCGUAAAGCGCACGCAGGCGGUCUGUCAAGUCGGAUGUGAAAUCCCCGGGCUCAACCUGGGAACUGCAUUCGAAACUGGCAGGCUAGAGUCUUGUAGAGGGGGGUAGAAUUCCAGGUGUAGCGGUGAAAUGCGUAGAGAUCUGGAGGAAUACCGGUGGCGAAGGCGGCCCCCUGGACAAAGACUGACGCUCAGGUGCGAAAGCGUGGGGAGCAAACAGGAUUAGAUACCCUGGUAGUCCACGCCGUAAACGAUGUCGAUUUGGAGGUUGUGCCCUUGAGGCGUGGCUUCCGGAGCUAACGCGUUAAAUCGACCGCCUGGGGAGUACGGCCGCAAGGUUAAAACUCAAAUGAAUUGACGGGGGCCCGCACAAGCGGUGGAGCAUGUGGUUUAAUUCGAUGCAACGCGAAGAACCUUACCUGGUCUUGACAUCCACAGAACUUUCCAGAGAUGGAUUGGUGCCUUCGGGAACUGUGAGACAGGUGCUGCAUGGCUGUCGUCAGCUCGUGUUGUGAAAUGUUGGGUUAAGUCCCGCAACGAGCGCAACCCUUAUCCUUUGUUGCCAGCGGUUCGGCCGGGAACUCAAAGGAAACUGCCAGUGAUAAACUGG